rnacentral:lncRNA from 1 species
GAUUUGGCUAUGUGCUCUUUGAGAACACAGAUGCUGUUCAUCUUGCUUUGAAGUUAAAUAAUUCUGAGCUAAUGGGAAGAAAACUGAGAGUCAUGCGUUCUGUUAAUAAAGAAAAACUAAAACAACAGAAUUCAAAUCCAAGCUUGAAGAAGGAUGUCAUUAAACCUAAGCAAAGACUUAAUUUUACUUCCAAAGAAGGAAAAUUCCAUUCCAAAGAAGGAAAAUUCCAUUCCAAGAAUGCAUUUAUUGGAGAAAAGGCAGUUCUCAUGAAAAAGAAAAAGAAAGGACAAAAGAAAAAAGUACAAAUGAAGAAACCAAGAAAACAGCAGUAAUAACUGAGGUUGCCUCCUUUCUGUGGUGAAACCUUGCAAUGAGUGUCUGGGUUUUUUAUGGAUUAUGUAGAAAAUGUGGAGGCAUCCACGGUGUCUGGUUUUUGUUUUUGUUUUUUUUUUAAUUCAUGCUAUAUGUAAGGCUUCUUUGAAGCCUUGUUCUUAGAAAUGUAUUUAAAGAAAAAUAAUAAACAUUAAUACUC